CGGGGGCUGAAUUUUGGGCGCGGGUGUGCCCGUGGCCUAUUUUUGGCACACGGAGGCCGCCCGCAAAGUCUGGGGCCAUUCCGAGUCCGGCGGACGAGCUUCGCCCACGCCCCCCACCAAGACUAUAGCCCACCCGUUUUUUGGCCAUUUUUCCGCUGGGGGGUCUUGGCGCCCCGACCUUCGGGGGCUUAAUUUUGGGCGCGGGUGUGCCCGUGGCCUAUUUUUGGCACACGGAGGCCGCCCGCAAAGUCUGGGGCCAUUCCGAGUCCGGCGGACGAACUUCGCCCAC
rnacentral:lncRNA from 1 species